CCUUUCGAACUUCCCCUCAAGGUUUUUAAAACGUGUCUGCUAGGGAGAGGUUUCCACACCCUUAUAAAGAAUGAUUUGUUCUCCUCCCUAACCGAUGUGGGAUCUCACAUUUAUGCUUGAUCCUUCAUGAACAGCAGUCCAGAUGAUCACUUUCAUCAUUUUAGGGUACUUUUCUUUCUUUAGAGCCUUGAAUAGUGCCUUCGGUGCAGGGUGAUCUGCUGUAAGCUUUCUGAAGAGAGACUUGCAAGUUAGAAUACCCGAAGGAUCUAUUUUACAAACUAUUCUGUCCUCCAAAUUUCCAAAAGCAUGUCCAUUCCACUAUUUCAAGUUAUUUGGAGUUCGAAUGACUGUAAUGUUAGCCUUGACACUGUCGAAUUGAGGAGUUUUUGCUACCUGUCUACUCGUAACUUUAAAAUUUUACCAUCUUGCCAACUUUGAAGGUACAAAUCUCAAUCAGAAUGACGAAAGUUCCAAAAUAUGCAUCCUUAAACUGCAGCUUCCGGCUUUUGUUCUUUUCAUAUGUUUGCCACCAAAAUCCUUCCUUGCUUAACUUACUACUUAUUUGUCUUUAUGCCUUAAGAAAUCAUGCUUCAGAAGCUAUUUGAUGAGGGAAAGUAUUUAUGACUGGCAUAUUGUUAAAAUGCCCUAAGCUUCUACUUCUUAAGGAUGGGUAGCAAUGCCUUCGUUAAUAAGAUGACAUCUCCCAUCAAGGUCCUGCCCCUCCACAUAGACAUUACCCCUUUUGUAUUUUGUUCAUCCCACAUUUAUAAUAAUGCAAGUUGACUCUCAAACCGGAAGCUGACUACUUCAAAUCUAUUCCUAUGUCAAAAGAAGUAGAAUUGUUGGGAGAGGAGUCUCAUAUCGACUAAUUAAGGGGUUGAUCAUGGGUUUAUAAGUAAGGAGUGCAUCUCCAUUGGUAUGCGGCCUUUUGGAGAAUGAAAAGAAAAACCAUGAGGGCUUAUGUUCAAAGUGGACAAUAUCAUGCCAUUGUGGAGGUUUGUGGUUUCUAAUAGAAAUUAGUGUAUCACACUGCAAGUUCAAUGAUCCUGUGAACUCUUUUGAUACUGAAACCUUUUAGAAAACCAGUCUCGAAGGCUCAUGAGGAUAAGCUACAUCAAUCUCUAAGUUCAAUCAAAUAGAUGGAGGUUACGAUGACAGUAUGCCUCUCAUUGUUCAAAGAUGUGACUGAUAGAUAUACAUGAAAAGUUGUUAAAAGAGUCUUUAGACUAUUAUAAUGUGACAAUUUUUAUUUUGAGCACUAUUGAUAAUUGAAUGCAUAUUGAACUGGAAAGUUUUUAGUUGAGUUCUCUCUACCCUACUGCUAACUCCAAGUUGCGUUAUAAUCAGCAGGACAUCUAAUAUCUAGUUGCACUUGGUGACACAUACAUAAGAUAUGAAAGAGGUUUUCAACUGAAUUUGCGUAUGAAAGCUUUUGAGAUCUUAUCACAGCUUCAUUUUUUGGCUGAUAACCUCUUAGCCUCUCUCUACUGUGGCAAGUUGGUCUCUUGAACCUUCCUCAAAUGAAAGGAUGAGUACCAGGAAUUAUUCAAAUGCACUUCCAAAAAGAGGUUGCGGGGUUUAACCCGAAUCAUUGGUCAGUUAAAUCCCUUCAAAUUUGGUUUAGAAAGAAGCUUCGAUAAUGGAUUUGCUGCUUUCAUUUGGAAAUAAAAAGCUUGAAAAAGAAUGUAGUUUUUUCCCCUGACAGUGGCCCCAUGGAAGAUUAAUACUAUGGAUUAGAUUCUGAAGA